GAUGAACGCUGGCGGCGUGCCUAAUACAUGCAAGUCGAGCGAACAGACGAGGAGCUUGCUCCUUUGACGUUAGCGGCGGACGGGUGAGUAACACGUGGGUAACCUACCUAUAAGACUGGGAUAACUUCGGGAAACCGGAGCUAAUACCGGAUAAUAUUUAGAACCGCAUGGUUCGAUAGUGAAAGAUGGCUUUGCUAUCACUUAUAGAUGGACCUGCGCCGCAUUAGCUAGUUGGUAAGGUAACGGCUUACCAAGGCAACGAUGCGUAGCCGACCUGAGAGGGUGAUCGGCCACACUGGAACUGAGACACGGUCCAGACUCCUACGGGAGGCAGCAGUAGGGAAUCUUCCGCAAUGGGCGAAAGCCUGACGGAGCAACGCCGCGUGAGUGAUGAAGGUCUUCGGAUCGUAAAACUCUGUUAUUAGGGAAGAACAAACGUGUAAGUAACUGUGCACGUCUUGACGGUACCUAAUCAGAAAGCCACGGCUAACUACGUG
rnacentral:rRNA from 1 species